GGAGAUUCUAAAUUAAACAUAAUGUGCAAUAAAGGUUGUUUAAACAUUAGAUUUCUCUUUACCAGAAGUGUUUAGGAAGGCUCAGCAAGUCAAAUGCAGGAAGGUGUGACUAGGACCGUGUAAACAAAGUGAAUUAACUCCUUAAUGAAAGAUAAUUAAGCAGUGAGACUACAAGGGCAUGAUCUAUACAACAAAACUGCUUCAUUAAGAUAAAGUUGUUA